rnacentral:lncRNA from 1 species
CUUUAACAGUCUUAUAUGUUUUUUUGCAUCUAGGACAUGUGAGAUGUUGUUUGAGAUGCUGUUCCACUUUGACAAAGGGUUUACCACAGAAAAAGCACACCUUCACAUAAACAACUUUGCGCAGUGUGCAUAGCUGAUCCAUCUAUAAAAAGGGAUACGUCGUAUCAUAUAUUGAUAAGCAUUUGUAACAUUAUAGGUUUUUUAUUUGUAUUCUAUACUACGACUAAAGUGUUUGUGCAAAAAUGGAACACAUUGAGAAAGAAGCGUUAGCUCGCGCUAGGAGCUGGUUGUCUCCCUGGGAACAGGUAAGAAACACUUAACUAUAUAUAAUAUAAUGAUUUAGCGAGGUAGCAUGAAACCUUCGGGAUGGAAAUAAACCUAAAGAAAACUAAAUACCUAUCACCGGUAAAUACAGAAAUCCUGCAACUGGAAUUUCGACGAAGGGUUGGAAAAACAAAUAAGGGUUGGAAAAA